GAAAUCCAUGCCAAAACUCCAAUCUAUAAUAUCCUGCUCAUGCUCUGAGGUCAUUAAGGAAAAAAAUCAUGAAAAUAGGUGGAGCCCCAGAAUUUCCUCUAAAAAUCAGAAGACUUACAGAGAGAACCUCUGAGAUGCUCUGGAAGAACAAUGGCCAAGCAAAAUUCUCCAGGAGGACAGAGUCUGUGGCAGUCCUUCUGGGUGACCAGGAACUUUUCAAAUGUAGAGGAGCCUUUAGAAUGACGCCUUGAGCAUGAGGGGCAGACCCCCCCUCGCCCAACCACCACCUGAAUCUGUGUGAACCUGGAACUGUUAAAAUGUCUGUGCUGUAAUAAAAGGUCAUCUCCCUACAAUGUUAUGAUACAGACCUCAAACCUACAAACAUGAGGCACUUCUGCCUCUGGGUUAACUGGUUACCCACUGUACAAGACACGUUACACACAGUCCAGGAGGCGGAGCUUCUGAGAUAUCUAGAAACAGCUUAGAGGCAAAAUGACACAACAAAGCAGCAACAACAAAUAAAACCAAUCUUCUCGAACUGGC